rnacentral:rRNA from 1 species
UACGUAGGGGGCAAGCGUUGUCCGGAUUUAUUGGGCGUAAAGAGCGUGUAGGCGGCCGUACAGGUCAGCUGUGAAAACUCGAGGCUCAACCUCGAGACGUCGGUUGAAACCGUACGGCUAGAGUGCGGCAGAGGGGGAUGGAAUUCCGCGUGUAGCAGUGAAAUGCGUAGAUAUGCGGAGGAACACCGAUGGCGAAGGCAAUCCCCUGGGCCUGCAC